AUUGAACGCUGGCGGCAUGCUUUACACAUGCAAGUCGAACGGUAACAGGCCGCAAGGUGCUGACGAGUGGCGAACGGGUGAGUAGUGCAUCGGAACGUGCCCAGUCGUGGGGGAUAACUGCUCGAAAGAGCAGCUAAUACCGCAUACGAUCUAUGGAUGAAAGCGGGGGACCGUAAGGCCUCGCGCGAUUGGAGCGGCCUAUGUCAGAUUAGGUAGUUGGUGGGGUAAAGGCUCACCAAGCCAACGAUCUGUAGCUGGUCUGAGAGGACGACCAGCCACACUGGGACUGAGACACGGCCCAGACUCCUACGGGAGGCAGCAGUGGGGAAUUUUGGACAAUGGGGGCAACCCUGAUCCAGCAAUGCCGCGUGCAGGAAGAAGGCCUUCGGGUUGUAAACUGCUUUUGUACGGAACGAAACGGUCUGGGUUAAUACCCUGGGCUAAUGACGGUACCGUAAGAAUAAGCACCGGCUAACUACGUGCCAGCCGCCGCCGUAAUAC
rnacentral:rRNA from 1 species